rnacentral:sRNA from 1 species
GUAGAGUGGGAAUAAGAGGCUAACUUGAUUUGAAGAGAGAACGCUGAUUUAACAGCAUUUGUCCUAAGCUAAAACGGAUAAAUUGAUAAAAAAUAAUAUAGUUCCCUGCCAAAAACCCUGCCAAUAAAAAAUUUUGGCAGGGAAUUUUGU